AUGGGGUGGAAGGCGAUCCGUCUCUCCAUUCCAAUUCCAGUAGGAUCGGAUAGCGGAGAGGAAGCAGGGAUCUGGGAAAAGGGCAAGGAAAAGAGAUCCACUUUCCUUCUGCAGCUGGAGGAGAACGAAGGGACAGCAGAUGCAGUAGGAGCUUCACUUUCCUUCCCUGGAGGUACAAGAGAAGGCUGAGAGUUUAUGGUUGGAAUCUUGCUGGUUAGUCCUGAUCAGAGAAUCAAUUGUUGAAUGGUAAGUAAUGCAUCAAUAAAUCCCAUUGCUUCCAGAAGUUUGUUCUCAUUGGGACCA
rnacentral:lncRNA from 11 species